GUCAGAUACCUGCUAACUGAAGAAACGCUGACUCGCCGCUGUUUUUCGCCUACAGGCAGGAUGGUCCUGACCACAGGUGUUGCCCUCCUUCUACCCCCCAAUGCGAUGGGGCAACCGGGCAGUCUGUCGCCGUCACGUUUAGUGUUGAGUCGGCUCAACUCGCUUGGACCCUCGCCGGAGCAGGCAUUAAAAAAGUACCAGAGUUCCUGUUGCACGAGGAAACAGAAGAGAUUCUGCACAGCCUUGAGUGAAUGGUUGCCCCCGUACCGACUACAAAAGCCCUCUCAGCAUACAAAGCUUGAUGACAUCGUCACAUACUUUAGCGCCUCAUACACCUGCCUGCUCUGCUGCAGGAGUGUCGUGUUUCAACGAUGAGGCAAUGUCCAGCCAAUGAGCAGCAGUGAGAACAGUUAAGGAGCGUGGUGAGAACUCUCCUCCCAUCGCUCCUCUCUACCUGGG